CAGCUUUUGCAAUAUGUAUGAGCCUGAUUAGUCCUAUACUAUAUAAAGAAAGACCACGCCUAAUAAAGUUGAAGUACACUGAUCACUCAUAUUGAGCGUCUGGGUCUUCCCUCCGUCGGCUCCUCCCGUGCAAGUUUCCAACAAAUGGCGCCCGAACAGGGACCCUGCUGGUCAGGGACUCGGUGAUUAUAAACUCAGGAGUCGACAGAGUACUAGAGACAGCUGGUCCUGCUGUGCUAAAGGCGACGAGACACAAAAGGGGGUCUACGUGCCAGAGUUACAGAGGAGGUGGAGAGGACACAAACAAAGGGGGUCCGUGCCCAGGACGAGACGGGGUCCUGCCAGAAAGUCUCGCCGCAGGUCUUGCAAAGGUUGCAACGGACCGGUUUGGGUUCCCAGCAGAUUUACGAAACCUGUGAUAGACGAAGGAGCGACUGUGGACAAAGACCAUGCUCGGAAUCGGACAGACAACUCUGCGCAAAAUUGUCCUAUUGAUUAUGAUAAUUGCUGAAGGGUCUACGAUGUUGUCUCAGAUUGAUACUCAGCAGAAUAUGUGGGUUACAUGGGCUAACGAAACUAACCAGCGCACCUUUUGUUUGUCUCUAGCCUCAGGAAGCGAUCCCUUCCGGACGUGUCUAUUUGGGGUGCCUAUAGGAGCUCCAAAGGAAUUGGUCAAGCUGUUAGGCCCAUACUCAACUUCACUCACUCUCUUAAAUGGGUCCUUCUCGAGCAACCUCUCAGACGGAGUGGUUGCUGCACUGCAACAUCUUAAUAUAUCGUUGCCAUGGGAUCCACAAGAAUUAGAUUUGUUAGGGUCAGUAGCAGUAGGAAACACUAGUGAUAAUUGGACACAAACCUGUUUUAUGCUAAAUAAAGGUAAACAAAAUAAGACUCAUUGGACGAACAUAACGUCUAGAACUUUAGGGUUUAACGCCAAUGGUCCUAUGAGUGCCCCUAAGGCACUGCCUGCUGGUAUUUUUCUAAUUUGUGGUGACAGAGCAUGGCAAGGCGUGCCAGGAAACGCUUAUGGGGGACCUUGUUAUAUAGGACGCCUGACACUCUUUGCCCCUGACUUACAUGAUCAGCGUUGGUCAAAUCUGACUGCAGCAAUCAAACAUAGAAGAAGUGAGAAUCGUCGAGGCAAACGUGAAUUGAAAAAACUAGGUUCAGAUUGUGCUGAUGAUGUAGCAUUAUGGGGACCUGCGGAAAGGUUUUUCGCCGCAGCUUUAGCUCCUAACGUUGCAGUUGCGCAUGCCAUGUCUAAUCUAAAUAAACUUGCUUGUUGGGCUGU